CGCGGGCGGCUGCCGCCGAACUGCGCCGGAGCGGCGCAUUUCACGACCCCGCCGCCCCGCCGCUGGUGAGCCUGACGACCUCCGCGGCGGCCUGAGCGGCGGCGAGGGCGGCCUCGGCGACGGCGGCGGUGGCGGCGGCGACCGCGAUGGCGUGCUUGCUGGCGUCCAAGUCGCCGGGGCCGAGAGACGGGUAGUGGCGAGGGGCGCUGGGGAGGGCUAGGCGGCUCCUGUCGUUGAGCGAUCUGACGAAGCUCCAGCGCCGGCGGGGGCGCUUGUCCCUGGAGCCGCCGCCGCCGCCGCCGAAGAGUCGUCGGAAGAAGCCCAUGCUAUCAUCUCACUGACGUGGGUUCCGUGGAGUCAAGUACAGGGAGUUGAAAAAACGCGAGCUUUUUGCCUUCUUUUGGAGGUGCCUUAAUGGCAGCAAGUGGUGGGAGUAUAGAGAGAGAAAGCGAGCGAACCAGAGAGGAAAUAAAUAGGGAAAGAGAGAGAGAGAGAGA
rnacentral:lncRNA from 1 species